rnacentral:rRNA from 1 species
AACGAACGCUGGCGGCAUGCCUAACACAUGCAAGUCGAACGAGACCUUCGGGUCUAGUGGCGCACGGGUGCGUAACGCGUGGGAACCUGCCCUUAGGUUCGGAAUAACUCCCCGAAAGGGGUGCUAAUACCGGAUAAUGUCUUCGGACCAAAGAUUUAUCGCCUUUGGGUGGGCCCGCGUUGGAUUAGCUAGUUGGUAGGGUAAAAGCCUACCAAGGCGACGAUCCAUAGCUGGUCGGAGAGGAGGAUCAGCCACACUGGGACAGAGACACGGCCCAGACUCCUGCGGGAGGCAGCAGUGGGGAAUAAUGGACAAUGGGCGAAAGCCUGAGCCAGCAAGGCCGCGUGAGUGAUGAAGGCGUUAGGGUUGUAAAGCUCUUUUACCCGGGAUGAUAAGGACGGAACCGGGAGAAUAAGCUCCGGCUAACUCGUU